rnacentral:rRNA from 1 species
CCUACGGGUGGCAGCAGUGGGGAAUAUUGGACAAUGGGCGAAAGCCUGAUCCAGCCAUGCCGCGUGUGUGAAGAAGGCCUUCGGGUUGUAAAGCACUUUCAGUGGGGAAGAAAGCCUUGGGGCUAAUACCCUCGAGGAAGGACAUCACCCACAGAAGAAGCACCGGCUAACUCCGUGCCAGCAGCCGCGGUAAUACGGAGGGUGCGAGCGUUAAUCGGAAUUACUGGGCGUAAAGCGCGCGUAGGCGGUCUGAUAAGCCGGUUGUGAAAGCCCCGGGCUCAACCUGGGAACGGCAUCCGGAACUGUCAGACUAGAGUGCAGGAGAGGAAGGUAGAAUUCCCGGUGUAGCGGUGAAAUGCGUAGAGAUCGGGAGGAAUACCAGUGGCGAAGGCGGCCUUCUGGACUGACACUGACGCUGAGGUGCGAAAGCGUGGGUAGCAAACAGGAUUAGAUACCCCAGUAGUC